CUUCUCAUCCCGAUAAUUUUUUGCUUUGUAUGUUAUGUAAUAACGAUCUUGCUGUUAUUCUAUGAAUUUAAUAUUGUUGCUUCGAAAUACACGUCUUCGAGAUUU